ACGCUCGACACCUACGGGAGCAGCAGUGGGGAAUAUUGCACAAUGGGGGAAACCCUGAUGCAGCGACGCCGCGUGAGCGAAGAAGUAUCUCGGUAUGUAAAGCUCUAUCAGCAGGGAAGAAGAUGACGGUACCUGACUAAGAAGCACCGGCUAAAUACGUGCCCGCAGCCGCGGUAAUCUGAGCGGGCUGGCAAGGC
rnacentral:rRNA from 1 species